rnacentral:rRNA from 1 species
ACUCUAGAGGGACUGCCGGUGGUCAAACCGGAGGAAGGUGGGAGUGACGUCAAGUCCUCAUGGCCUUUAUGUCUAGGGCUACACACGUACUACAAUGGCCGGUACAAAGGGCAGCCACUCAGCGAUGAGGCGCUAAUCCCAUAAAGCCGGUCUCAGUCCGGAUCGCAGUCUGCAACUCGACUGCGUGAAGUUGGAAUCGCUAGUAAUCGUAGAUCAGCAUGCUACGGUGAAUACGUUCCCGGGCCUU